GUGGAUGUACUUCAUCAGUUGGUUGGCGGCUCCUUGUGAAAGAGGGGUGUGCCCCUGCAUGCCGUGGAAAAGACAGAGGACCCAGUCCUAGAUCCCUGCUUCGGAAAAUCAAGCUCCACUCAGGCGGCCACUGCUGCUUCCAACCCUGGAAAUCAACAUCUUUUUCAAGCAAAAUAAUGUGCAUGGCCUUUCCAGGACACCAGUCAGAUUGGACGAGGGCCUGUCCGGACUCAGCAUGACCUCAUCCUCACUCGAUUACAUCUGGAAUGAUUCUAUCUGCAAAUAACAUCACCUUCUGAGGUUCCAGGGACCCCACUGAGCCAUGAGCUCUAGAGUCUGUACAGAGGGCAGACGACCUUGACUAUGGGAAAACUCGCCAGAAAUUAUAGACCUGAAGCUCUUUCUUGUGGGACUGCAAAGGGUCAAGCAGGCAGGAGCGGGCUGAGAGGCA